rnacentral:rRNA from 1 species
AGAGUUUGAUCCUGGCUCAGGACGAACGCUGGCGGCGUGCUUAAUACAUGCAAGUCGAGCGAGGUUACUGUUUUGGAUCCCUUCGGGGUGAAGAAGCUUUAACCUAGCGGCGGACGGGUGAGUAACGCGUGGGUAACCUACCCCAAAGUCCGGGAUAACAGCGGGAAACCGCUGCUAAUACCGGAUGCCUUUACCUUGGGGCAUCUUGAGGUAAAGAAAGGCAACGCUUUGGGAUGGGCCCGCGUCCCAUUAGCUAGUUGGUGAGGUAACGGCUCACCAAGGCGACGAUGGGUAGCCGGCCUGAGAGGGUGGACGGCCACACUGGGACUGAGACACGGCCCAGACUCCUACGGGAGGCAGCAGUAGGGAAUAUUGCAGAAUGGGCGCAAGCCUGAUGCAGCAACGCCGCGUGGGCGAUUGAAGGCCUUCGGGUUGUAAAGCCCUUUUGCGCGGGAAGAGGAAGGACGGUACCGCGCGAAUAAGCCCCGGCUAACUACGUGCCAGCAGCCGCGGUAAU